rnacentral:rRNA from 1 species
AGUGAACGCUGGCGGUAGGCCUAACACAUGCAAGUCGAACGGCAGCACAGUAAGAGCUUGCUCUUACGGGUGGCGAGUGGCGGACGGGUGAGGAAUACAUCGGAAUCUACUUUUUCGUGGGGGAUAACGUAGGGAAACUUACGCUAAUACCGCAUACGACCUACGGGGGAAAGCAUGGGAUCUUCGGACCUUGCGCGAGUGAAUGAGCCGAUGUCGGAUUAGCUAGUUGGCGGGGUAAAGGCCCACCAAGGCGACGAUCCGUAGCUGGUCUGAGAGGAUGAUCAGCCACACUGGAACUGAGACACGGUCCAGACUCCUACGGGAGGCAGCAGUGGGGAAUAUUGGACAAUGGGCGCAAGCCUGAUCCAGCCAUACCGCGUGGGUGAAGAAGGCCUUCGGGUUGUAAAGCCCUUUUGUUGGGAAAGAAAAGCAGCAGGUUAAUACCCCGCUGUUCUGACGGUACCCAAAGAAUAAGCACCGGCUAACUUCGUG